GAAAAGAAAAUAUCAGAUAAUUUUCCAGACGGUUGUGCUAUGAUUAGUGUCUGGCGAAAAGCUUUAGCAUAUAUUUCCUUUGCAACAUCUCAAUCAACAAUUGGUCCAGUU